UGUAAAUGUUAAGGGGGACUAAUUACACGAACUACUCUAUUAAAAAACGAAGAACUUUUUCUUAUAAUUAUGAUCAAGCUGCUAUAGUAGACUAUCUCGCCGAAACUUAUAACAUUUAUACUCUUACGGACUUACUCUGCUGGAAAGCUUUAGAAAACUUUGACGAAUAUUUUAAAGAUGAAGUCCAAUUUUCUUUUAAGCAAAGACAGCUCGUCCGUAACAUUAAAAGAUUUAUUGAAGAUGUAUGUGAAGUUGAGAGCGAAACAGUAGUGCGAGGCCUCGAUUAUGUUAACAAUUUUAACACCCAUCGACCUCUUUCCACCGGAUUAAUAAAACUUGAUGAAGAGCUUAACGGUGGACUCUUCGAUUGUGAAGUUACUGAACUUGCCGGUUCUUCUGGUUCUGGAAAAACUCAGUUCUGCUUAUCUUGCGUACUUGAGAAUGCUUCCAACCUGAAAGCUGCCAUUUAUAUAGACACGGAAAAUAACUUUUCAGCUACACAAAUGUACAACAUAAGUCAAGCUAAAGGAAAUGUAGAAGACACGGUAUUAAACGAUUAUGUUCGCUGCCUUCGAGUUUAUAAUAUUUACGAUCUUUUUAACGACUUACAAGAAAUUUGGAAAAUUCUUGAAAAUCCUA